rnacentral:tRNA from 2 species
UGGAUGGGUUCCCGAGUGGCCAAAGGGGGCAGACUGUAAAUCUGUUGCGACACGCUUCGAUGGUUCGAAUCCAUCUCCAUCCAU